GACGGAGGUGGCUAGCGUUGUUCGGAAUUACUGGGCGUAAAGCGCGUGUAGGCGGGCUUGCAAGUUGGGGGUGAAAUCCCGAGGCUCAACCUCGGAACUGCCUCCAAAACUGCAAGCCUGGAGCAAGAUAGAGGCAAAUGGAAUUGCGAGUGUAGAGGUGAAAUUCGUAGAUAUUCGCAGGAACACCAGUGGCGAAGGCGACUUGCUGGAUCUUUGCUGACGCUGAGACGCGAAAGCGUGGGGAGCAAACAGG
rnacentral:rRNA from 1 species